UUCUGGUUGAUCCUGCCGGACCUGACUGCUAUCGGAUUGAUACUAAGCCAUGCGAGUCUUUGUAGUAAUACAAGGCAUACGGCUCAGUAACGCGUAGUCAACCUACCCUAUGGACAAGAAUAAUCUCGGGAAACUGAGCAUAAUUCUUGAUAGACCAUAAUGCCUGGAAUGGUUUAUGGUUAAAACGAUUCGUCGCCAUAGGAUGGGACUGCGGCCUAUCAGCUUGUUGGUGAGGUAAUGGCCCACCAAGGCGAUUACAGGUACGGGCUCUGAGAGGAAAAGCCCGGAGAUGGGUACUGAGACAAGGACCCAGGCCCUAUGGGGCGCAGCAGGCGAGAAAACUUUGCAAUGUGCGAAAGCACGACAAGGUUAGUCCGAGUGAUUUCUGCUAAAGAGAUCUUUUGCUAGUUAUAAAACCACUAGUGAAUAAGGGGUGGGCAAGUUCUGGUGUCAGCCGCCGCGGUAAAACCAGCACCUCAAGUGGUCAGGAUGAUUAUUGGGCCUAAAGCAUCCGUAGCCGGCUCUGUAAGUUUUCGGUUAAAUCUAUGCGCUCAACGUAUGGGCUGCCGAAAAUACUGUAGAGAUAGGGAGUGGGAGAGGUAGACGGUACUCGGUAGGAAGGGGUAAAAUCCUUUGAUCUAUCGAUGACCACCUGUGGCGAAGGCGGUCUACCAGAACACGUUCGACGGUGAGGGA
rnacentral:rRNA from 1 species